CAGAGUAGAGAAUACAUCAUAAAUAUAUUCAGAUGAACAAGGAAAAAUGUAAUGUCUAUCAAAUAAAAGUAUAAAAUAUGAUAUUAAUAAAUAUUUUUUCAGCGACUUCAAUAAGCAAAGUGAUGUUGGAGUCCCGCAUCGGUGGUUUAAAGAGUCCUUGGUCUUCAUAUAUGGUCUUGGACAAUCAUCCCUUCUUGAGCUAGCUUUUUAGGUUAAGUUAGGCCCAAGGUCCAUUUUUUUAUCAUGAUAUGCCCACCCAGUUCAUUAUUAAUACAAAUAAGAG
rnacentral:lncRNA from 1 species